rnacentral:tRNA from 1 species
GCAGUCGUGGUUCAGUGGUAGAAUUCUCCCCUUCCGUCGGGGAGAUCCGGGUUCAAUUCCCGGCCAAUGCA